rfam:Triticum aestivum genome assembly, contig: Triticum_aestivum_CS42_TGACv1_scaffold_456975_5DS
UCCAAACUCCAUCGGUCCUAAAAUUCUUGUCUUAGAUUUGUUUAAAUACGGAUGUAUCAAGUCACAUUUUAGUAUUAGAUACAUCCGUAUCUAGACAAAUAUAAGACAAGAAUUUUGGGACGGAGAGAGUACAAA